GCCCGCCUAGCUCAAUCGGAUAGAGCGUCAGACUCUUAAGGCGGGGGACAUCUCCUUACGGAACACCCGUCGGGCGAUCUGAAGGCUGCGAGUUCGACCCUCGCGGUGGGCU
rnacentral:tRNA from 1 species